rnacentral:rRNA from 1 species
AGAGUUUGAUCCUGGCUCAGGACGAACGCUGGCGGCGUGCCUAACACAUGCAAGUCACGGGGGCUUGGUAGCAAUACCGAGUAACCGGCGAACGGGUGCGGAACACGUGAGCAAUCUGCCGAUUUCUGGGGGAUAGCCGGCCCAACGGCCGGGUAAUACCGCGUACUCUCACCGGGGGACAUCCUCUGGUGAGCAAACCUACGGGGGAGAUCGAGGAGCUCGCGUCCUAUCAGCUAGUUGGCGGGGUAACGGCCCACCAAGGCUACGACGGGUAGCUGGUCUGAGAGGAUGGCCAGCCACAUUGGGACUGCGACACGGCCCAGACUCCUACGGGAGGCAGCAGUGGGGAAUAUUGCGCAAUGGACGAAAGUCUGACGCAGCGACGCCGCGUGUGGGAUGAAGCUCUUCGGGGUGUAAACCACUGUUGCCCGGGACGAAACUCCCCUUUUUGGGGGACUGACGGUACCGGGUGAGGAAGCACCGGCUAACUCUGUGCCAGCAGCCGCGGUAAUACAGAGGGUGCGAGCGUUGUCCGGAAUCACUGGGCGUAAAGGGCGCGUAGGUGGCUCGUUAAGCGUGUGGUGAAAGCCUGGGGCUCAACCCCAGGUCUGCCGUGCGGACUGGCGAGCUUGAGCAUAGUAGAGGCGGGUGGAAUUCCGGGUGUAGCGGUGGAAUGCGUAGAUAUCCGGAAGAACACCGGUGGCGAAGGCGGCCCGCUGGGCUAUUGCUGACACUGAGGCGCGACAGCGUGGGGAGCAAACAGGAUUAGAUACCCUGGUAGUCCACGCCGUAAACGAUGGGUACUAGGCGUCUGGGGGAGCGACCCCCUGGGUGCCGUCGCUAACGCAUGAAGUACCCCGCCUGGGGAGUACGGCCGCAAGGCUGAAACUCAAAGGAAUUGACGGGGGCCCGCACAAGCGGUGGAGCAUGUGGUUUAAUUCGACGCAACGCGAAGAACCUUACCUGGGCUUGACAUGCUGGAGAAAGCUCGCAGAAACGUGAGCCCCUCUUCGGAGUUCCAGCACAGAUGCUGCAUGGCUGUCGUCAGCUCGUGUCGUGAGAUGUUGGGUUAAGUCCCGCAACGAGCGCAACCCUCAUCCCUAGUUACCAGCGGGUAAAGCCGGGAACUCUAGGGGGACUGCCGGUGCUAAACCGGACGAAGGUGGGGACGACGUCAAGUCAUCAUGGCUCUUACGUCCAGGGCUACACACGUGCUACAAUGGGCCAGACAAAGGGCUGCCAACCCGCGAGGGGGAGCCAAUCCCAUAAACUGGUCCUCAGUUCGGAUUGCAGUCUGCAACUCGACUGCAUGAAGCUGGAAUCGCUAGUAAUCGUGGAUCAGCUACGCCACGGUGAAUACGUUCCCGGGCCUUGUACACACCGCCCGUCACGCCAUGGAAGCUGUGAGUGCCCGAAGUCGGUGCCGGAACCGCAAGGACCAAGCCGCCGAAGGCAAGCGCAGUGACUGGGGCGAAGUCGCAACAAGGUA